GCGCCUGUAGUCUAGCGGUAGGAUCUGAGCUUCCCAAGCUCAUGACACGGGUUCGAAUCCCGUCGGGCGCACCA
rnacentral:tRNA from 1 species